UUUACAUAGGAUUCCAUUCCAACAAUAUCUCCUCCCAUUCCCAACACACUUACAUAUAUAUAUAUAUAUCUCACAGUUUUGCAAACUAAUUAAGGCCCUAAUCAUAUCACAUGUACUUGAGCUAUGAAGUCCCAUUUCAUGGCUGCCCUCGCACUUACUUUGCUUCUCUCUCUACAUUUUCAUGUGAGAGAAGCAGAAGCAAGCAGGCCACUUGUUGCUCACCCAACAUCAUCUUCGCACAAACUCUCAAAAACUUGAGAGAGAAGGAGAAGAGACAUUACAAGAAGAUGAAGUCCAGCUCUAGAAGGGUGCCUCCAAGCCGCUCGAAUCCAACGCAGAAUUAGUACAUUCCCUAGUCCUUCAGAAAUUGAACCAUUUUUCUCAAAAAUAUGUUUCUUUCUUCUUAUAUUAUGUGUUCUGUUCAUGAUCAACAGUUGAUAGCUUCUUAUGUUUUUUUUAGGUUAUAUAUAUAGUACGUAAUGAGCUCCUAGGAUAUAGGAUCUUGUUGCAGCUUUUAGAUCAUAAAUUUUUAUUUUUAUUUUUUUGUAAUAUACUGGUCACAUUUUGUUGUUUAGUGGUAAUUCAUUGUUUAAGCUAUUAUUUUCCUCACAUGAUGAUAUGUCGGAGUUUAUCCGCA
rnacentral:lncRNA from 1 species